UAGAGUCUUACACCUGAUGACAUUGCUAACUCGUUGGUUCAUGCUCUUCAUGCCCCUCCCCACUGCCAGAUCCAUGAUAUACUUAUGCGUCCAAUUGAAGACGUAGUCUAAGAAUGCUACCUGAAUUUACUGCUUUUAGCAAUAUAUUUUUCUCUAGGGGAAACUACGUUCAUUGAAAUUUUUAUUUAAAAAAUGUGAACUUCUAUUUAAAGUAAAUUAAUGCUUUGGUAAGCUGAUGGUGAGGUUUUUUUUUAUCCUGUCAUCAUGCUUACUUGCUUAGAUAUAAGUUUGAAUUUACAGAUGGUAUUUUUCAACCACAUGUGUUCUGAGCAGAUUUGUUGAUCCUGUUCAUACUGUGUGUAAUAUACAUCAUUUUUGUAAUAAAAUACAUUUUGUAGACA